rnacentral:tRNA from 1 species
GCCGGGGUGGCGGAACUGGCAGACGCACAGGACUUAAAAUCCUGCGAUUGGUAACGAUCGUACGCCGUUCGAUUCCGUCCUCGGCA